CGAACGGAAAGGCCUGCAGCUUGCUGCGGGUACUCGAGUGGCGAACGGGUGAGUAACACGUGGGUGAUCUGCCUUGCACUUCGGGAUAAGCUUGGGAAACUGGGUCUAAUACCGGAUAGGACAGCUGUUUAGUGUCAGUUGUGGAAAGUUUUUUCGGUGCAAGAUGAGCUCGCGGCCUAUCAGCUUGUUGGUGGGGUAAUGGCCUACCAAGGCGUCGACGGGUAGCCGGCCUGAGAGGGUGUACGGCCACAUUGGGACUGAGAUACGGCCCAGACUCCUACGGGAGGCAGCAGUGGGGAAUAUUGCACAAUGGGCGGAAGCCUGAUGCAGCGACGCCGCGUGGGGGAUGAAGGCCUUCGGGUUGUAAACUCCUUUCGACAGGGACGAAGCGUAAGUGACGGUACCUGUAUAAGAAGCACCGGCUAACUACGUGCCAGCAGCCGCGGUAAUACGUAGGGUGCGAGCGUUGUCCGGAAUUACUGGGCGUAAAGAGCUCGUAGGUGGUUUGUCGCGUCGUCUGUGAAAUUCCGGGGCUUAACUCCGGGCGUGCAGGCGAUACGGGCUGACUUGAGUGCUGUAGGGGAGACUGGAAUUCCUGGUGUAGCGGUGAAAUGCGCAGAUAUCAGGAGGAACACCGAUGGCGAAGGCAGGUCUCUGGGCAGUAACUGACGCUGAGGAGCGAAAGCAUGGGUAGCGAACAGGAUUAGAUACCCUGGUAGUCCAUGCCGUAAACGGUGGGCGCUAGGUGUAGGGGGCUUCCACGUCUUCUGUGCCGUAGCUAACGCAUUUAAGCGCCCCGCCUGGGGAGUACUGCCGCA
rnacentral:rRNA from 1 species